rnacentral:rRNA from 1 species
UACGGGAGGCAGCAGUGAGGAAUAUUGGUCAAUGGACGCAAGUCUGAACCAGCCAUGCCGCGUGCAGGAAGACGGCUCUAUGAGUUGUAAACUGCUUUUGUACGAGGGUAAACGCUCUUACGUGUAAGAGCCUGAAAGUAUCGUACGAAUAAGGAUCGGCUAACUCCGUGCCAGCAGCCGCGGUAAUACGGAGGAUCCAAGCGUUAUCCGGAUUUAUUGGGUUUAAAGGGUGCGUAGGCGGUUUGAUAAGUUAGAGGUGAAAUACCGGUGUUUAACACCGGAACUGCCUCUAAUACUGUUGAACUAGAGAGUAGUUGCGGUAGGCGGAAUGUAUGGUGUAGCGGUGAAAUGCUUAGAGAUCAUACAGAACACCGAUUGCGAAGGCAGCUUACCAAACUAUAUCUGACGUUGA